rnacentral:rRNA from 1 species
AGAGUUUGAUCCUGGCUCAGGAUGAACGCUGACAGAAUGCUUAACACAUGCAAGUCGAUGGGGAAGUGGUGCUUGCACCAUGGCAACCAUGGCGGACGGGUGAGUAACGCGUAAGGGACUUACCUGCAGGACUGGGAUAACAGGGGGAAACUCCUGACAAGACCGGAUAAUGUCAUGGAGCUGCAUGGCUUUAUGAUGAAAGGAGACGCCUGCGGAGAGCCUUGCGUCCUAUUAGCUAGUUGGUGAGGUAAUGGCUCACCAAGGCGAAGAUAGGUAGCCGGCCUGAGAGGGUGGACGGCCACAAGGGGACUGAGAUACGGCCCUUACUCCUACGGGAGGCAGCAGUGGGGAAUAUUGGACAAUGGGGGCAACCCUGAUCCAGCAAUUCUGUGUGCACGAAGAAGGUUUUCGGAUUGUAAAGUGCUUUCAGCAGGGAAGAAGGAAGUGACGGUACCUGCAGAAGAAGCGACGGCUAAAUACGUGCCAGCAGCCGCGGUAAUACGUAUGUCGCGAGCGUUAUCCGGAAUUAUUGGGCAUAAAGGGCAUCUAGGCGGCCUAACAAGUCAGGGGUGAAAACCUGCGGCUCAACCGCAGGCUUGCCUUUGAAACUGAUAGGCUGGAGUACCGGAGAGGUGGACGGAACUGCACGAGUAGAGGUGAAAUUCGUAGAUAUGUGCAGGAAUGCCGAUGAUGAAGAUAGUUCACUGGACGGUAACUGACGCUGAAGUGCGAAAGCUAGGGGAGCAAACAGGAUUAGAUACCCUGGUAGUCCUAGCUGUAAACGAUGAUUACUGGGUGUGGGCAUGAAGAGUGUCCGUGCCGAAGCUAAUGCGAUAAGUAAUCCGCCUGGGGAGUACGGCCGCAAGGCUGAAACUCAAAGGAAUUGACGGGGACCCGCACAAGCGGUGGAGCAUGU